rnacentral:lncRNA from 1 species
UUUACCUGAUGAUGUGCAGAGUUGCUCUUAAGGAAGCAAGUUUCUUCGAGCUGUGAUUGAAGAUGGAGAGCUGAAGACCAAAAUCCAAUGCCCUUAGAGAUGGAUGAUUGAAGAUGAUCCUCCUAUCCUCUUUUUUUCUUGUGCUCAAAAUUGUUAAUCUCUCAAAACCUUUUUUUGCUCACCCCUUUUUCGUCACCCCUUUUUCGUCACCCCCUCUACAAUCUUCUCUGUAAUGGUUUUCUCAAUUUCCCCCCCACAAAAUUCUG